rnacentral:rRNA from 1 species
UUAAGUUAUUAAGGGCGCACGGUGGAUGCCUUGGCACUAGAAGCCGAUGAAGGACGUUACUAACGACGAUAUGCUUUGGGGAGCUGUAAGUAAGCUUUGAUCCAGAGAUUUCCGAAUGGGGAAACCCAGCAUGAGUUAUGUCAUGUUAUCGAUAUGUGAAUACAUAGCAUAUCAGAAGGCACACCCGGAGAACUGAAACAUCUUAGUACCCGGAGGAAGAGAAAGAAAAUUCGAUUCCCUUAGUAGCGGCGAGCGAAACGGGAAGAGCCCAAACCAACAAGCUUGCUUGUUGGGGUUGUAGGACACUCUAUACGGAGUUACAAAGGACGACAUUAGACGAAUCAUCUGGAAAGAUGAAUCAAAGAAGGUAAUAAUCCUGUAGUCGAAAAUGUUGUCUCUCUUGAGUGGAUCCUGAGUACGACGGAGCACGUGAAAUUCCGUCGGAAUCUGGGAGGACCAUCUCCUAAGGCUAAAUACUCUCUAGUGACCGAUAGUGAACCAGUACCGUGAGGGAAAGGUGAAAAGCACCCCGGAAGGGGAGUGAAAUAGAACCUGAAACCGUGUGCUUACAAGUAGUCAGAGCCCGUUAAUGGGUGAUGGCGUGCCUUUUGUAGAAUGAACCGGCGAGUUACGAUUUGAUGCAAGGUUAAGCAGUAAAUGUGGAGCCGUAGCGAAAGCGAGUCUGAAUAGGGCGUUUAGUAUUUGGUCGUAGACCCGAAACCAGGUGAUCUACCCUUGGUCAGGUUGAAGUUCAGGUAACACUGAAUGGAGGACCGAACCGACUUACGUUGAAAAGUGAGCGGAUGAACUGAGGGUAGCGGAGAAAUUCCAAUCGAACCUGGAGAUAGCUGGUUCUCUCCGAAAUAGCUUUAGGGCUAGCCUCAAGUGAUGAUUAUUGGAGGUAGAGCACUGUUUGGACGAGGGGCCCCUCUCGGGUUACCGAAUUCAGACAAACUCCGAAUGCCAAUUAAUUUAACUUGGGAGUCAGAACAUGGGUGAUAAGGUCCGUGUUCGAAAGGGAAACAGCCCAGACCACCAGCUAAGGUCCCAAAAUAUAUGUUAAGUGGAAAAGGAUGUGGCGUUGCCCAGACAACUAGGAUGUUGGCUUAGAAGCAGCCAUCAUUUAAAGAGUGCGUAAUAGCUCACUAGUCGAGUGACACUGCGCCGAAAAUGUACCGGGGCUAAACAUAUUACCGAAGCUGUGGAUUGUCCUUUGGACAAUGGUAGGAGAGCGUUCUAAGGGCGUUGAAGCAUGAUCGUAAGGACAUGUGGAGCGCUUAGAAGUGAGAAUGCCGGUGUGAGUAGCGAAAGACGGGUGAGAAUCCCGUCCACCGAUUGACUAAGGUUUCCAGAGGAAGGCUCGUCCGCUCUGGGUUAGUCGGGUCCUAAGCUGAGGCCGACAGGCGUAGGCGAUGGAUAACAGGUUGAUAUUCCUGUACCACCUAUAAUCGUUUUAAUCGAUGGGGGGACGCAGUAGGAUAGGCGAAGCGUGCGAUUGGAUUGCACGUCUAAGCAGUAAGGCUGAGUAUUAGGCAAAUCCGGUACUCGUUAAGGCUGAGCUGUGAUGGGGAGAAGACAUUGUGUCUUCGAGUCGUUGAUUUCACACUGCCGAGAAAAGCCUCUAGAUAGAAAAUAGGUGCCCGUACCGCAAACCGACACAGGUAGUCAAGAUGAGAAUUCUAAGGUGAGCGAGCGAACUCUCGUUAAGGAACUCGGCAAAAUGACCCCGUAACUUCGGGAGAAGGGGUGCUCUUUAGGGUUAACGCCCAGAAGAGCCGCAGUGAAUAGGCCCAAGCGACUGUUUAUCAAAAACACAGGUCUCUGCUAAACCGUAAGGUGAUGUAUAGGGGCUGACGCCUGCCCGGUGCUGGAAGGUUAAGAGGAGUGGUUAGCUUCUGCGAAGCUACGAAUCGAAGCCCCAGUAAACGGCGGCCGUAACUAUAACGGUCCUAAGGUAGCGAAAUUCCUUGUCGGGUAAGUUCCGACCCGCACGAAAGGCGUAACGAUUUGGGCACUGUCUCAACGAGAGACUCGGUGAAAUCAUAGUACCUGUGAAGAUGCAGGUUACCCGCGACAGGACGGAAAGACCCCGUGGAGCUUUACUGUAGCCUGAUAUUGAAAUUCGGCACAGCUUGUACAGGAUAGGUAGGAGCCUUUGAAACGUGAGCGCUAGCUUACGUGGAGGCGCUGGUGGGAUACUACCCUAGCUGUGUUGGCUUUCUAACCCGCACCACUUAUCGUGGUGGGAGACAGUGUCAGGCGGGCAGUUUGACUGGGGCGGUCGCCUCCUAAAAGGUAACGGAGGCGCUCAAAGGUUCCCUCAGAAUGGUUGGAAAUCAUUCAUAGAGUGUAAAGGCAUAAGGGAGCUUGACUGCGAGACCUACAAGUCGAGCAGGGUCGAAAGACGGACUUAGUGAUCCGGUGGUUCCGCAUGGAAGGGCCAUCGCUCAACGGAUAAAAGCUACCCCGGGGAUAACAGGCUUAUCUCCCCCAAGAGUUCACAUCGACGGGGAGGUUUGGCACCUCGAUGUCGGCUCAUCGCAUCCUGGGGCUGUAGUCGGUCCCAAGGGUUGGGCUGUUCGCCCAUUAAAGCGGUACGCGAGCUGGGUUCAGAACGUCGUGAGACAGUUCGGUCCCUAUCCGUCGUGGGCGUAGGAAAUUUGAGAGGAGCUGUCCUUAGUACGAGAGGACCGGGAUGGACAUACCUCUGGUGUACCAGUUGUCGUGCCAACGGCAUAGCUGGGUAGCUAUGUGUGGACGGGAUAAGUGCUGAAAGCAUCUAAGCAUGAAGCCCCCCUCAAGAUGAGAUUUCCCAACUUCGGUUAUAAGAUCCCUCAAAUAUGAUGAGGUUAAUAGGUUCGAGGUGGAAGCAUGGUGACAUGUGGAGCUGACGAAUACUAAUCGAUCGAAGACUUAAUCAA